UACGUAGGGGGCAAGCGUUGUCCGGAUUUAUUGGGCGUAAAGAGCGUGUAGGCGGCCAAGCAGGUCUGCUGUGAAAACUCGAGGCUCAACCUCGAGACGUCGGUGGAAACCGUUUGGCUAGAGUCCGGAAGAGGAGAGUGGAAUUCCCAGUGUAGCGGUGAAAUGCGCAGAUAUCGGGAAGAACACCCGUGGCGAAGGCGGCUCUCUGGGACGGUACUGACGCUGAGACGCGAAAGCGUGGGGAGCGAACAGG
rnacentral:rRNA from 1 species